AAGAGGCGGGACCCAGGGAGGGGGCGGGCAGCGGGCGGCUGGAGCAUGCGCGGAAGGGCUCGUGCGUGCCACGCGCCCCUUGUCUGGCCAGCACCGCGUCCGCACCGUCCCGGUUUUUUUUUUUUUCUCCCGAGCCUGGGGAGUGGCCGCUGCCUGGGCCCCGCCCCGCUCCCUAGCUCGGGCCGUGGGGGUUUGGUUCCGUGUGUUUCCGCUAGGCGGGGACCCUGGCCGGCGAGACCUGAGUCGCGCUGAGGCCCUUUGCGGCGGUUCCAUCUUCGCCUGGACGGUUCCUUGCAGGCGGUGCGCAGCUGUUGGGUUGUGGCCGGAAGAAGACCCCAGGAUUUGGGCCGUGGCUCUAGUCUACAAAGUUGCUUAAACAGAAGAACAGAAGAUGGGACAACAGCAACAUAAUUUUGGACGCUGGAAAACAGAUGAACAAGAGCUUAGUAACAGACCUGGCAAAUCUUUCUACCAAACAUGAAAAAAGGGCUCAAGGUCUCUGCAUUUAGCAAUCAAUGUUCAUAGACUCAGCACCCACAAGGCGCCUGGGUGGCUCAGUCAGUUAAACAUCUACCUUCGGCUUAGGUCAUGAUCCC